rnacentral:rRNA from 1 species
ACUCCUACGGGAGGCAGCAGUGGGGAAUAUUGCACAAUGGGGGAAACCCUGAUGCAGCCAUGCCGCGUGUGUGAAGAAGGCCUUCGGGUUGUAAAGCACUUUCAGUAGGGAGGAAGGUAGUGUAGUUAACACCUGCAUUAUUUGACGUUACCUACAGAAGAAGCACCGGCUAACUCCGUGCCAGCAGCCGCGGUAAUACGGAGGGUGCGAGCGUUAAUCGGAAUUACUGGGCGUAAAGCGCAUGCAGGCGGCCUGUUAAGUCAGAUGUGAAAGCCCGGGGUCUUAACCUCGGAAUUGCAUUUGAAACUGGCAGGCUAGAGUCUUGUAGAGGGGUUAGAAUUUCAGGUGUAGCGGUGAAAUGCGUAGAGAUCUGAAGGAAUACCAGUGGCGAACGGCGGCCCCCUGGACAAAGACUGACGCUCAGAUGCGAAAGCGUGGGAGCAAACAGGAUUAGAUACCCCUGGUAGCGACUGA